CCUACGGGUGGCUGCAGUAGGGAAUCUUCCGCAAUGGACGAAAGUCUGACGGAGCAACGCCGCGUGAGUGAUGAAGGCUUUCGGGUCGUAAAACUCUGUUGUUAGGGAAGAACAAGUAUCGGAGUAACUGCCGGUACCUUGACGGUACCUAACCAGAAAGCCACGGCUAACUACGUGCCAGCAGCCGCGGUAAUACGUAGGUGGCAAGCGUUGUCCGGAAUUAUUGGGCGUAAAGCGCGCGCAGGCGGUCCUUUAAGUCUGAUGUGAAAGCCCACGGCUCAACCGUGGAGGGUCAUUGGAAACUGGGGGACUUGAGUGCAGAAGAGGAAAGCGGAAUUCCACGUGUAGCGGUGAAAUGCGUAGAGAUGUGGAGGAACACCAGUGGCGAAGGCGGCUUUCUGGUCUGUAACUGACGCUGAGGCGCGAAAGCGUGGGGAGCAAACAGGAUUAGAUACCCUAGUAGUC
rnacentral:rRNA from 1 species